AUUGAACGCUAGCGGGAUGCUUUACACAUGCAAGUCGAACGGCAGCGCGGACUUCGGUCUGGCGGCGAGUGGCGAACGGGUGAGUAAUGUAUCGGAACGUGCCCAGUAGCGGGGGAUAACUACGCGAAAGCGUAGCUAAUACCGCAUACGCCCUACGGGGGAAAGCAGGGGAUCGUAAGACCUUGCACUAUUGGAGCGGCCGAUAUCGGAUUAGCUAGUUGGUGAGGUAACGGCUCACCAAGGCGACGAUCCGUAGCUGGUUUGAGAGGACGACCAGCCACACUGGGACUGAGACACGGCCCAGACUCCUACGGGAGGCAGCAGUGGGGAAUUUUGGACAAUGGGGGCAACCCUGAUCCAGCCAUCCCGCGUGUGCGAUGAAGGCCUUCGGGUUGUAAAGCACUUUUGGCAGGAAAGAAACGUCGCGGGCUAAUACCCCGUGGAACUGACGGUACCUGCAGAAUAAGCACUGGCUAACUACGUG
rnacentral:rRNA from 1 species